GAAGAGGUGGCGCUGGCCCUGCCAGCUGUCCCCCAGCCCGUGGACAAACGGGUGCCUGACCUGUCUCUGGGGAUACAAAGCAGAGAGGAAUGCACAGGACCCCGGUACUACACGCGGGAUCCGGGUGGGGUGCAGAGGAACCCCGGUGGAACACAGAGAGACUCGACACGGGGCACGAGGACGUGGUGAGGGUAGAAGGGGACCCGGCGGGACGGCCGGAGACGCCGCUAAGGAUGCACAGGGACCCGUACAGCGUGCGGGGAGAGCUCGGUAAGGCGGUCGGCGGUGCCGGGAUGGUGGCACGGAAUACACGGACGGCGCAGGAGGAUGCUCAGGGCGCUGGGGAACCCCGGUAGGACGUGCAGGAACCCCGAUAGGACGAGCAGGAAUCCCAGUACAGGGUGCGAGGGGACCCGUUAGGGCGCCCGGGGCUGCCGGGGAAGGAUGCGGGAUGCGCGGGCGCCCCAGGAGGACGUUCAGGGACCCCGUUCGGAUGCACCGGGACCCCGUUCGGAGGGUGGGGGCUCCGGGACGGCACCUUGAGCUGCUGCUGGCGGGCGGAGGGGCGGACGGGGAACUCCGGCAGGAACAACGAGACGAGCUGCGGCAGCGGCCACCCGGGCAGAGGCGGCUCCUCGGCGGGGCCCCGCGGGGCCAGGGCGAGCCCCGGUACUGGUACCGAUACCGGCAUCGACCCAGCGCGGCUCAGCAGCGCCCGCACCCACGCCCCCACGGCGCGGCCCUGCGGAACCGAGGACAGCGUCACCCAGGGGAUCCCGGGGCGGGGGAUGCCCGGGGGGACCCCGCGGGAUGAUGCCACCGCACGCACCUGGGGGGGCCGCACCGGGGCCGGGGCCGGGCCGGGGCCGCUGCUCGUUGCUCCCAUCGCGGCGCCGCCCGGCCGCGCCCCGGGCCCGGUCCCCGGUAAUCGCCGCCUUACAUAACCCCGCCGCCCCGCCCCGCCCCGCCCGCCGCGACCACCCCCCGCCCCGGGGCACGGCGGCGGUGCUGCCCCUUGCACCGCGACACCCACCCGUGACUGAUCCCCCACCCUCCGGGACCCCCACCACCACCACUUUGGGGUUGCUCACUCACCCGUGACUGAUCUCGCCCCUGAUCCGGGAUCCCCCCUACACACAUCAGGGUUGCCAGUGCUCCCCAUGACUGAUCCCGCCUCACUCCAGGACCCCUCCUUGCACACUUUGGGGCUCCCUCUUCAACCUUUCUUUUGCACCCCACUUGCUGCAGCCAGCAGGGUGUGCACACAGCCCACACUGAGCCCUGGCAUGGCCCCAGGCACCAAUGGGCUCAUGGAGAAGACCUGAGAGGGCUAAGUGUACAGACUGAGCCCCCAAAGUGGGUUCCCCAAGCAACUCCUGGGGAAGGGCAAGGGAUGAAGCCCCCACAGACAGGGUGCUGUCAGGCUGAGGGAGGGGACAGCACUGAGCCUGACACUGCAGGGAGGUGAGAAGCCACUGGCUCAAGAUUCUUCCAAAUUAAAAACUCUUUUAUUUAAA